rnacentral:rRNA from 1 species
AGUGAACGCUGGCGGUAGGCCUAACACAUGCAAGUCGAACGGCAGCACAGUAAGAGCUUGCUCUUACGGGUGGCGAGUGGCGGACGGGUGAGGAAUACAUCGGAAUCUACUUUUUCGUGGGGGAUAACGUAGGGAAACUUACGCUAAUACCGCAUACGACCUACGGGUGAAAGCAGGGGAUCUUCGGACCUUGCGCGAUUGAAUGAGCCGAUGUCGGAUUAGCUAGUUGGCGGGGUAAAGGCCCACCAAGGCGACGAUCCGUAGCUGGUCUGAGAGGAUGAUCAGCCAAACUGGAACUGAGACACGGUCCAGACUCCUACGGGAGGCAGCAGUGGGGAAUAUUGGACAAUGGGCGCAAGCCUGAUCCAGCCAUACCGCGUGGGUGAAGAAGGCCUUCGGGUUGUAAAGCCCUUUUGUUGGGAAAGAAAAGCAGCAGGUUAAUACCCCGCUGUUCUGACGGUACCCAAAGAAUAAGCACCGGCUAACUUCGU